CAGUUCAGAUUGCAGGCUGCAACUCGCCUGCAUGAAGUUGGAAUUGCUAGUAAUCGCGAAUCAGAAUGUCGCGGUGAAUACGUUCCCGGGCCUUGUACACACCGCCCGUCACACCAUGAGAGUCGAUAACACCCGAAGCCUGUGAGCUAACCGUAAGGAGGCAGCAGUCGAAGGUGGGGUUGAUGAUUGGGGUGAAGUCGUAACAAGGUAUC
rnacentral:rRNA from 1 species